CUUACUAGCUAAGUAAUAACUUAUGUACAUCACAGUCUAUUCUGUUUUGUUCUUUGUUCUGUCCACUCUUGGGAGAUUGAGACUUAAACCAGCUUAAUCUCUUAAGGAUACCGUAGACCCAAGCGGUAAUUACCCCGAUCGUCCCGGCAAAAUCGCUCGCGCUCGCGUCGGAUUAAAGCAAAUGCCAACAAACUAUAUAUCAAUUUAAAGCUUAAUGAAUUUACUUUCCUCCUAAGAUCAUCAUUUUUUAUACGCGCUUAAUUUUGAGUGCUUUUGCCUGAUCCGAAGUGCGAAAUCGACCACUUCUAAACAUGCGAAUUAUUUAUACACACCAAAAGCGCGUAACCUCCCGGGAUCUGCUUUAUAUCUUUCGUCUUGUACUGAACUGACGAACCGUGUCUACAUUUGACGUCACACAGCCUCGUUGAUUAAUAAUCAAGGGUCAAAGUUAGGUGAGGAAUAAUUUUGCUUCUUUGGCUACAACGCGCUAAUUAAGUCCGUAGCAAAAAAAGCUAUUGAUUAUCCGCGGCACGGUGUGACAGAACAAUAUCUAUACUAGACGCUUGCCAAGUUGCGCAGGAGUCGGGCGGUUAGAAGUGUACCUUUAAUUCACAUAUUUAGAGUAAGAUGGGGUGAAAUUUUAUUGCGAGAUAUCGGUGAUUGAAGUUGUGUAAACAUUAGAGGCAGCGUGACAGUAAUGACAGACGAAGAGCAAAUAGAGCCGCGUAUGGCAACCAAUCACAUUGCACGCUCUACACGCAGCGGAAAAACUCUUAGGCGCUCAAAUGUCAUAGCGCUAGUCGUUCAAGUGAGGAAGAUGCCUAGACCGGAGCGAGCUUGCACCGAAGAAAAGAAGAGCGCGGAAAACUUAAAAAAGUUUAUCAUUGUGUUGAAUUCUUACUAGCUAAGUAAUAACUUAUGUACUGCACACUCUAUUCUGUUUUGUUCUUUGUUCUGCCCACUCUUGGGAGAUUGAGACUUAAACCAGCUUAAUUACCACCAACCAUACUAAACUGGUUUAAGUGUUGGCGUGAAUGCGGUAUAAGACAGGCCUGGGAUAAAUGCGCGGGUGCCUCAGGUUCCUAAGGUUGUGUUGUGUUCGUUAGAUAGCGGUGCUGGGGAUGAUAGCAAGUAUUCACCACGUACGAUUGCGUGUGUGUGGCGGACUGAAAUUGAAUUCAUGUUUGUUAUGUUCUGAUCGCUUUUCUCGUUAACAUUUUAGAGCGAAUGCGUGAAAUACCAGCUAUCAUUGCGCCUGCGCACCAAGAUAGACAAACUGUGAGACGUGGAUGGGUCAGACUGCAAGUCCACCAUAUGACUGCGGUAGUAUACUGCGAAGAGAUCCCAACACCAAAGACAUGACCACCAUCUACCCAGUGCCAGCCGGUUGGCUAUUGUGCUACAUUGACCACCGUGACACAGCGCAUCACGCAACCCCUGGGUCAGUACGCAGCUCUUACAAGCUGCAAUUUGAUUGGGCAAAUGAACAAUAUCCGCACCUUGACACAAAGAAAAAGAAGAAUAGAGACAAAAGAAAUCCUUUGUAGAACAAAUAUAAUAGGAGACAAAGCAUUCCGGGCUACGUCGACAGCCAGGCUUUGCUCGGCACAGGGGGAAUUUCGGGUGUUGGCAUGGCAACAAAGGGCCAUCGCCUGGUCCCUCAUAUGCGGUGAAUAAUAUCAUUCAAAGAGGCUGCGUGGAUGGGUUACAACACAAAGAAACGUGGGCGUUGAUCAGUAAAACGACGAUUACUUAUAGUGUUUGCAUCCGACGACCUGCCUAAGAGAGUAUAAAAAAGUCACAUUUGAGAACGUUUUAUUUGCUUUUCUUGACAAAAAUUAAAUUUUUGUAUGGAUAAUUCACUCAGCCAGCUGCACACAAUAGCUAGAAAAUAUCCAUCCUAAGGCGCUCUUACCCGGGUUUCUGAUAGGCUUCCCUGUGGCCUGUAAGAGUUGUGACGUCACAGAAAUGUCUCCCAGACCCCUAGCUUUCACAGGAAACCCAGUAAGUGGGUAUUUUUAAUGCUGUCGUUCAUCCAAUGCUAUUUUAUUUCUGUGUGAAAGAAAUUGCCCCUCAGUGUGAUAAUUUGAACCUCGGUAUUAUAUAUCUGCAAAUGUGAGGAAAAAUCCAUAAAAUGUUACCUGUCUAACAAUCGCAGUAAAGUAAUUGCAAAUGCAAUAUACAGAUUAUAAUUUCAAAAAUAGAAAUUUUGUUGAAAUAUGUAAUUUGCCCUUUGAGCAGAGGCUUUUUUAAAAUCGACCUUUCUAAAUGAAUGCAAAAUAGAACCCAGAAGUGCGUGUUACAGCGAUCUUAUUAUUACAAGUUUGACGCUUCAAUUCGACACUUCCCAAAUGAUGGAAGUCCUGUGGUAUUGGCGCGCCAAAGCGAGGCUUUAGGCAUGCGCCUGAAUUAUCAAUAGCUCACAAGCAAGAAAGAAUAAAUGUAAAAUUACAAUGUA